rnacentral:rRNA from 1 species
CAAUAGCGUAUAUUAAAGUUGUUGCGGUUAAAAGCUCGUAGUUGGAUUUCUGUUGAGGUCGACCGGUGCACACCUCGUGUGUUAUUUGGUUCGGUCUCGGCAUCCUCCUGGGGAACGUGUCAGGACUUUAUUGGACUGCGCGAGAUUCAGGACUUUUACUUUGAGGAAAUUAGAGUGUUCACGGCAGGCAAGUGCUUUGAAUACAUUAGCAUGGAAUAAUAAUCUAGGACUUCGGUUCUAUUUUGUUGGUUUCUUAGUACUGAAGUAAUGAUUGAUAGGGAUAGUUGGGGGUGGCGUAGUAUUGGCCGGCCAGAGGUGAAAUUCUUGGAUUCGGUCAAGACUAACUUAUGCGAAGCAUUCACCAAGGAUGUCUUCUUUAAUCAAGAACGAAAAGUUGGGGGAUCGAAGAUGAUUAGAUACCAU